CAGCGGAAAAAUGGCCAAAAAACGGGUGGGCUAUAGCCUGGUGCGGGGCGCGGUCGAAGUUCGUCCGCCGGACUCGGAAUGGGGCGAGACUUUGCGAGGGGCCUCGGGGUGCCCGCGGGAAGUCGCGGGCACAGCCGCGUCCAAAAAUAAGCGCCCGAAGGUCGUGGUGCCAAAACCCCCCAGCGGAAAAAUGGCCAAAAAACGGGUGGGCUAUAGCCUUGGUGGGGGGCGCGGGCGAAGUUCGUCCGCCGGACUCGGAAUGGGGCGAGACUUUACGAGGGGCCUCGGGGUGCCCGCGGGAAGUCGCGGGCACAGCCGCGUCCAGAAAUAAGCGCCCGAAGGUCGUGGUGCCCAAAACCCCCCAGCGGAAAAAUGGCCAAAAAACGGGUGGGCUAUAGCCUUGGUGUGGGGCGCGGGCGAAGUUCGUCCGCCGGACUCGGAAUGGGGCGAGCCUUUGCGAGGGGCCUCGGGGUGCCAAAAAUAAGCCGCGGCCAAGGCCGCGCCCAAAAAUAAGCGCCCGAAGGUCGUGGUGCCAAAACCCCCCAGCGGAAAAAUGGCCAAAAAACGGGUGGGCUAUAGCCUUGGUGGGGGGCGCGGGCGAAGUUCGUCCGCCGGACUCGGAAUGGGGCGAGACUUUGCGAGGGGCCUCGGGGCGCCAAAAAUAAGCCGCGGGCAAAGCCGCCGCCCAAAAAUAAGCGCCCGAAGGUCGUGGUGCCAAAACCCCCCAGCAGAAAAAUGGCCAAAAAACGGGUGGGCUAUAGCCUUGGUGGGGGGCGCGGGCGAAGUUUGUCCGCCGGACUCGGAAUAGGGCGAGACUUUGCGAGGGGCCUCAUGGUGCCAAAAAUAAGCCGCGGGCAAAGCCGCGCCCAAAAAUAAGUGCCCAAAGGUCGUGGUGCCAAAACCCCCCAGCGGAAAAAUGGCCAAAAAACGGGUGGGCUAUAGCCUUGGUGGGGGGCGCGGGCGAAGUUCGUCCGCCGGACUCGGAAUGGGGCGAGACUUUGCGCGGGGCCUCAGGGCGCCAAAAAUAAGCCGCGGGCAAAGCCGCGCCCAAAAAUAAGCGCCCGAAGGUCGUGGUGCCAAAACCCCCCAGCGGAAAAAUGGCCAAAAAACGGGUGGGCUAUAACCUUGGUGGGGGGGGCGGGCGAAGUUCUUCCGCCGGACUCGGAAUGGGGCGAGACUUUGCGAGGGGCCUCGGGGCACCAAAAAUAAGCCGCGCGCAAAGCCGCGCCCAAAAAUAAGCGCCCGAAGGUCGUGGUGCCAAAACCCCCCAGCGGAAAAAUGGCCAAAAAACGGGUGGGCUAUAGCCUUGGUGGGGGGCGGGGGCGAGGUUCGUCCGCCGGACUCUGAAUGGGGCGAGACUUUGCGCGGGGCCUCGGGGCACCAAAAAUAAGCCGCGGGCAAAGCCGCGCCCAAAAAUAAGCGCCCGAAGGUCGUGGUGCCAAAACACCCCAGCGGAAAAAUGGCCAAAAAACGGGUGGGCUAUAGCCUCGGUGGGGGGCGCGGGCGAAGUUCGUCCGCCGGACUCGGAAUGGGGCGAGAAUUUGCGAGGGGCCUCGGGGUGCCCGCGGGAAGUCGCGGGCACAGCCAAGUCCAAAAAUAAGCGCCCGAAGGUCGUGGUGCCAAAACCCCCCAGCGGAAAAAUGGCCAAAAAACGGGUGGGCUAUAGCCUUGGUGGGGGGCGCGGGCGAAGUUCGUCCGCCGGACUUGGAAUGGGGCGAGACUUUGCGAGGGGCCUCGGGGUGCCCGCGGGAAGUCGCGGGCACAGCCGCGUCUAGAAAUAAGCGCCCGAAGGUCGUGGUGCCAAAACCCGCCAGCGGAAAAAUGGCCAAAAAACGGGUGGGCUAUAGCCUUGGUGGGGGGCGCGGGCGAAGUUCGUCCGCCGGACUUGGAAUGGGGCGAGACUUUGCGAGGGGCCUCGGGGUGCCCGCGGGAAGUCGCGGACACAGCCGCGUCUAGAAAUAAGCGCCCGAAGGUCGUGGUGCCAAAACCCCCCAGCGGAAAAAUGGCCAAAAAACGGGUGGGCUAUAGCCUUGGUGGGGGGCGCGGGCGAAGUUCGUCCGCCGGACUCGGAAUGGGACGAGACUUUGCGAGGGGCCUCGGGGCACCAAAAAUAAGCCGCGGGGAAAGCCGCGCCCAAAAAUAAGCGCCCGAAGGUCGUGGUGCCAAAACCCCCCAGCGGAAAAAUGGCCAAAAAACGGGUGGGCUAUAGCCUUGGUGGGGGGCGCGGGCGAAGUUCGUCCGCCGGACUCGGAAUGGGGCGAGACUUUACGAGGGGCCUCGGGGUGCCCGCGGGAAGUCGUGGGCACAGCCGGGUCCAGAAAUAAGCACCCGAAGGUCGUGGUGCCAAAACCCCCAGCGGAAAAAUGGCCAAAAAACGGGUGGGCUAUAGCCUUGGUGGGAGGCGCGGGCGAAGUUCGUCCACCGGACUCGGAAUGGGGCGAGACUUUGCGCGGGGCCUCGGGGUACCAAAAAUAAGCCGCGGGCAAAGCCGCGCCCAAAAAUAAGCGCCCGAAAGUCGUGGUGCCAAAACCCCCCAGCGGAAAAAUGGCCAAAAAACGGGUGGGCUAUAGCCUUGGUGGGGGGUGCGGGCGAAGUUCGUCCGCCGGACUCGGAAUGGGGCGAGACUUUGCGAGGGGCCUCGGGGUGGCCAAAAUAAGCCGCGGGCGAAGCCGCGCCCAAAAAUAUCGCCCAAAGGUCGUGGUGCCAAAACCCCCCAGCGGAAAAAUGGCCAAAAAACGGGUGGGCUAUAGCCUUGGUGGGGGGCGCGGGCGAAGUUCGUCCGCCGGACUCGGAAUGGGGCGAGAUUUUGCGCGGGGCCUCGGGGCGCCAAAAAUAAGCCGCGGGCAAAGCCGCGCCCAAAAAUAAGCGCCCGAAGGUCGUGGUGCCAAAACCCCCCAGCGGAAAAAUGGCCAAAAAACGGGUGGGCUAUAGCCUUGGUGGGGGGCGCGGGCGAAGUUCGUCCGCCGGACUUGGAAUGGGGCGAGACUUUGCGAGGGGCCUCGGGGCACCAAAAAUAAGCCGCGGGCAAAGCCGCGCCCAAAUAUAAGCGCCCGAAGGUCGUGGUGCCAAAACCCCCCAGCGGAAAAAUGGCCAAAAAACGGGUGGGCUAUAGCCUUGGUGGGGGGCGCGGGCGAAGUUCGUCCGCCGGACUCGGAAUGGGGCGAGACUUUGCGAGGGGCCUCGGGGCGCCAAAAAUAAGCCGCGGGCAAAGCCGUACCCAAAAAUAAGUGCCCGAAGGUCGUGGUGCCAAAACCCCCCAGCGGAAAAAUGGCCAAAAAACGCGUGGGCUAUAGCCUUGGUGGGGGGCGCGGGCGAAGUUCGUCUGCCGGACUCGGAAAGGGGCGAGACUCUGCGCGGGGCCUCGGGGCGGCAAAAAUAAGCCGCGGGCAAAGCCGCGCCCAAAAAUAAGCACCCGAAGGUCGUGGUGCCAAAACCCCCCAGCGGAAAAAUGGCCAAAAAACGGGUGGGCUAUAGCCUUGGUGGGGGGCGCGGGCGAAGUUCGUCCGCCGGACUCGGAAUGGGGCGAGACUUUGUGAGAGGCCUCGGGGUGCCCGCAGGAAGUCGCGGGCACAGCCGCGCCCAAAAAUAAGCGCCCGAAGGUCGUGGUGCCAAAACCCCCCAGCGGAAAAAUGGCCAAAAAACGGGUGGGCUAUAGCCUUGGUGGGGGGCGCGGGCGAAGUUCGUCCGCCGGACUUGGAAUGGGGCGAGACUUUGCGAGGGGCCUCGGGGUGCCCGCGGGAAGUCGCGGGCACAGCCGCGUCCAGAAAUAAGCACCCGAAGGUCGUGGUGCCAAAACCCCCCAGCGGAAAAAAGGCCAAAAAACGGGUGGGCUAUAGCCUUGGUGGGGGGCGCGGGCGAAGUUCGUGCGCCGGACUCGGAAUGGGGCGAGACUUUGCGAGGGGCCUCGGGGUGCCCGCAGGAAGUCGUGGGCACAGCCGCGUCUAGAAAUAAGCGCCCGAAGGUCGUGGUGCCAAAACCCCUCAGCGGAAAAAUGGCCAAAAAACGGGUGGGCUAUAGCCUUGGUGGGGGGCGCGGGCGAAGUUCGUCCGCCGGACUCAGAAUGGGGCGAGACUUUGCGAGGGGCCUCGGGGUGCCCGCGGGAAGUCGCGGGCACAGCCGCGUCCAGAAAUAAGCGCCCGAAGGUCGUGGUGCCAAAACCCCCCGGCGGAAAAAUGGCCAAAAAACGGGUGGGCUAUAGCCUUGGUGGGGGGCGCGGGCGAAGUUCGUCCGCCGGACUCGGAAUGGGGCGAGACUUUGCGCGGGGCCUCGGGUCGCCAAAAAUAAGCCGCGGGCAAAGCCGCGCCCAAAAAUAAGCGCCCGAAGGUCGUGGUGCCAAAACCCCCCAGCGGAAAAAUGGCCAAAAAACGGGUGGGCUAUAGCCUUGGUGGGGGGCGCGGGCGAAGUUCGUCCGCCGGACUUGGAAUGGGGCGAGACUUUGCGCGGGGCCUCGGGGUGCCCGCGGGAAAUCGCGGGCACAGCCGCGUCCAGAAAUAAGCGCCCGAAGGUCGUGGUGCCAAAACCCCCCAGCGGAAAAAUGGCCAAAAAACGGGUGGGCUAUAGCCUUGGUGGGGGGCGCGGGCGAAGUUCGUCCACCGGACUCGGAAUGGGGCGAGACUUUACGAGGGGCCUCGGGGUGCCCGCGGGAAGUCGCGGGCACAGCCGCGUCCAGAAAUAAGCGCCCGAAGGUCGUGGUGCCAAAACCCCCCAGCGGAAAAAAGGCCAAAAAACGGGUGGGCUAUAGCCUUGGUGGGGGGCGCGGGCGAAGUUCGUCCGCCGGACUCGGAAUGGGGCGAGACUUUGCGAGGGGCCUCGGGGAGCCCGCGGGAAGUCGCGGGCACAGCCGCGUCCAGAAAUAAGCGCCCGAAGGUCGUGGUGCCAAAACCCCCCAGCGGAAAAAUGGCCAAAAAACGGGUGGGCUAUAGCCUUGGUGGGGGGCGCGGGCGAAGUUCGUCCGCCGGACUCGGAAUGGGACGAGACUUUGCGGGGGGCCUCGGGGCACCAAAAAUAAGCCGCGGGCAAAGCCGCGCCCAAAAAUAAGCGCCCGAAGGUCGUGGUGCCAAAACCCCCCGGCGGAAAAAUGGCCAAAAAACGGGUGGGCUAUAGCCUUGGUGGGGGGCGCGGGCGAAGUUCGUCCGCCGGACUCGGAAUGGGGCGAGACUUUGCGCGGGGCCUCGGGACGCCAAAAAUAAGCCGCGGGCAAAGCCGCGCCCAAAAAUAAGCGCCCGAAGGUCGUGGUGCCAAAACCCCCCAUCGGAAAAAUGGCCACAAAACGGGUGGGCUAUAGCCUUGGUGGGGGGCGCGGCCGAAGUUCGUCCGCCGGACUCGGAAUGGGGCGAGACUUUGCGAGGGGCCUCGGGGCGCCAAAAAUAAGCCGCGGGCAAAGCCGCGCCCAAAAAUAAGCGCCCGAAGGUCGUUGUGCCAAAACCCCCCAUCGGAAAAAUGGCCAAAAAACGGGUGGGCUAUAGCCUUGGUGGGGGGCGCGGGCGAAGUUCGUCCGCCGGACUCGGAAUGGGGCGAGACUUUGCGCGGGGCCUCGGGACGCCAAAAAUAAGCCGCGGGCAAAGCCGCGCCCAAAAAUAAGCGCCCGAAGGUCGUGGUGCCAAAACCCCCCAUCGGAAAAAUGGCCAAAAAACGGGUGGGCUAUAGCCUUGGUGGGGGGCGCGGCCGAAGUUUGUCCGCCGGACUCGGAAUGGGGCGAGACUUUGCGAGGGGCCUCGGGGCGCCAAAAAUAAGCCGCGGGCAAAGCCGCGCCCAAAAAUAAGCGCCCGAAGGUCGUUGUGCCAAAACCCCCCAUCGGAAAAAUGGCCAAAAAACGGGUGGGCUAUAGCCUUGGUGGGGGGCGCGGGCGAAGUUCGUCCGCCGGACUCGGAAUGGGGCGAGACUUUGCGCGGGGCCUCGGGGCGCCAAAAAUAAGCCGCGGGCAAAGCCGCGCCCAAAAAUAAGCGCCCGAAGGUCGUGGUGCCAAAACCCCCCAGCGGAAAAAUGGCCAAAAAACGGGUGGGCUAUAGCCUUGGUGGGGGGCGCGGGCGAAGUUCGUCCGCCGGACUCGGAAUGGGGCGAGACUUUGCGCGGGGCCUCGGGGUGCCCGCGGGAAGUCGCAGGCACAGCCGCGUCCAGAAAUAAGCGCCCGAAGGUCGUGGUGCCAAAACCCCCCAGCGGAAAAAUGGCCAAAAAACGGGUGGGCUAUAGCCUUGGUGGGGGGCGCGGGCGAAGUUCGUCCACCGGACUCGGAAUGGGGCGAGACUUUACGAGGGGCCUCGGGGUGCCCGCGGGAAGUCGCGGGCAUAGCCGCGUCCAGAAAUAAGCGCCCGAAGGUCGUGGUGCCAAAACCCCCCAGCGGAAAAAAGGCCAAAAAACGGGUGGGCUAUAGCCUUGGUGGGGGGCGCGGGCGAAGUUCGUCCGCCGGACUCGGAAUGGGGCGAGACUUUGCGAGGGGCCUCGGGGAGCCCGCGGGAAGUCGCGGGCACAGCCGCGUCCAGAAAUAAGCGCCCGAAGGUCGUGGUGCCAAAACCCCCCAGCGGAAAAAUGGCCAAAAAACGGGUGGGCUAUAGCCUUGGUGGGGGGCGCGGGCGAAGUUCGUCCGCCGGACUCGGAAUGGGACGAGACUUUGCGAGGGGCCUCGGGGCACCAAAAAUAAGCCGCGGGCAAAGCCGCGCCCAAAAAUAAGCGCCCGAAGGUCGUGGUGCCAAACCCCCCGGCGGAAAAAUGGCCAAAAAACGGGUGGGCUAUAGCCUUGGUGGGGGGGGCGGGCGAAGUUCGUCCGACGGACUCGGAAUGGGGCGAGACUUUGCGCGGGGCCUCGGGGCGCCAAAAAUAAGCCGCGGGCAAAGCCGCGCCCAAAAAUAAGCGCCCGAAGGUCGUGGUGCCAAAACCCCCCAUCGGAAAAAUGGCCAAAAAACGGGUGGGCUAUAGCCUUGGUGGGGGGCGCGGGCGAAGUUCGUCCGCCGGACUCGGAAUGGGGCGAGACUUUGCGAGGGGCCUCGGGGUGCCAAAAAUAAGCCGCGGGCAAA
rnacentral:lncRNA from 1 species